rnacentral:sRNA from 26 species
GCCUUGUAUCCACAUGAUUUGAGCUGGUCUUACGUUUUGAGGACGUAGCAAGGCAU